rnacentral:rRNA from 1 species
CACUCCUACGGGAGGCAGCAGUGGGGAAUAUUGGACAAUGGGGGCAACCCUGAUCCAGCCAUGCCGCGUGAGUGAUGAAGGCCCUAGGGUUGUAAAGCUCUUUUGUGCGGGAAGAUAAUGACGGUACCGCAAGAAUAAGCCCCGGCUAACUUCGUGCCUGCAGCCGCGGUAAUACGAAGGGGGCUAGCGUUGCUCGGAAUCACUGGGCGUAAAGGGUGCGUAGGCGGGUCUUUAAGUCAGGGGUGAAAUCCUGGAGCUCAACUCCAGAACUGCCUUUGAUACUGAGGAUCUUGAGUCCGGAAGAGGUGAGUGGAACUGCGAGUGUAGAGGUGAAAUUCGUAGAUAUUCGCAAGAACACCAGUGGCGAAGGCGGCUCACUGGUCCGGUACUGACGCUGAGGCACGAAAGCGUGGGGAGCAAACAGGAUUAGAAACCCGUGUAGUCCAU